rnacentral:rRNA from 1 species
AGUGAACGCUGGCGGCGUGCCUAAUACAUGCAAGUCGAACGGAGCGGCGGCCGGGUGAGUAAUGCCUAGGAAUCUGCCUGGUAGUGGGGGAUAACGUCCGGAAACGGGCGCUAAUACCGCAUACUAGCAGAUGAGCCUAGGACGGAUUAGCUAGUUGGUGGGGUAAAGGCCUACCAAGGCGACUGUCCGUAACUGGUCUGAGAGGAUGAUCAGUCACACUUGAACUGUGACACGGUCCCGACUCCGACGGUGGGCAGCAGUGGGGAAUAUUGGACAAUGGGCGAAAGCCUGCUCCAGCCAUGCCGCGUGUGUGAAGAAGGUCUUCGGAUUGUAAAGCACUUUAAGUUGGGAGGCGUUACCAACAGAAUAAGCACCGGCUAACUUCGUGCCAGCAGCCGCGGUAAUUC